ACUGCCGCUCCGUCCCGCUCCUCCGUGCGUGGCCGCAGCACCCUGCCCCGCCUCCCGCCAUUUCCCUGCUCCCCGGCCCCUGCCCGGACCUUUUCCUUCAUGUCAGUCGUGCACCUUUACCUCGUAAUCCCCUAAUGGGAUUUGAGUUCGUGCUUCCUUUUUAUUUCUCGUUGAUGGCCUGGACCUUUUUUUCCUCUGCGCUUUCGCUGUAUUUUAUAUCCUGAAAUGUUUCAUCCUCUUUUGCAGUUCUCUCCCCAAGAGUAUGAAUGGCAUUUUACUCUAGAAGACACCACAGACAGCCGCUACUUUCAAGCAACAGAGACAAUACUAUCAGAUUUAUUUUGUGGAGUUUCAUAUCCUUGAUUAGUUCACUAAAGUGGCAGGCCAUUGUGGUUCCUUAAUCUCCUGGUUAGAAGACUUUCAGGUGACUUAAGAACACAAGCACAAAAAGCUCUCUUGUACUCGUCCGUCUGACUGCAAUCUUAGUGGCAGCAGCUUGCCCAUUUAAUGAUGGACUGGAUCCAGCUGUGUGAAAGAAAACCACAUCUAUCAAUUUUGCUAAUAGAAACAGGAUAAAAAUAGAAUAUCCUCAGAGACCCCUUCCCUGAAAGGCUGUCAGCAGACACCUUGACCCAUUUUUGCUGUCUGUCAGAAUGUAUGACUUCUGAGCUAAUGUAUUAGUGCAAUUUGCCCAGUAUGAUGGCAAUAACUAUAAAACUUUAUGUAGAGGAAAGAAUCUUUGCUACAAUUCAAGAUGAUUGGUAUUUUUUAUCCUCAUUAUCUUCUGAAGUUGUUUGGAGCUGUCAUGUUACGCAGUAAAUAUUGCUCAUGAAUAACGUGGUGAGGUCUGGGUUAAAAGUCCACUGCAAUGAGAUACGGCCUACCAACUUUGCCCUGAGAUCGGAAUAGAGUUACCUCACGACUUUGACUAUUUGCAGUCUUCCUACAAGAUUUAUUCAGGUUCGGUAAAAAAACACAAGCCAGUAACUCCCCCCAAAAGGCUCUCAGUGUCAUCUGCAAUGCAAACAACUGAGGCAAGUGCUGACCUAGAACACGAAGGGAGGGAGAAAUACUGAAAGACAGGUUCCUACAACACUCCUGCACCAAGCAACAACCGUAAACCAUGGCAGACAGCAGGCAAACAUACAGAAGUUGCAGCUUUUCUCUCUGUGGACAAUCACUAAAGAAAAAGAUGAAGCAAUGAUCUUUUUAUAGGGAUGAUUUCCAUUAAUUUAAAUGAAAAUUUCACCUGGGGACAUGUGAGGAAGAAAGCACACAUCAUGCCAUAAAACAGGAUUUUAGCUAAAAAGAUACAUUUUGGGGGGUCAUAAUUAACAGCAAACAGUUUUUCUUUCCUUUUAUCGUGUUUAUAAUAAAUUUUGUACUUUAACAGCCUAUGUUUUGGCCUCUUUAUGUUAAAUAUUAGCUUAGGAGGGUGAUGGCUAAACAAAACUCAAGUGUAACUCCAUUAUAUAGGACUAAACUCUUUUUCUUUGUCGUUUCUGUGCAGACCCACUAGCCUGGUAUGUAAAAACAAUACAUCAUUUGCGUUUAAAGCACA